UACGUAGGGUGCGAGCGUUGUCCGGAAUUACUGGGCGUAAAGAGCUCGUAGGUGGUUUGUCGCGUUGUUCGUGAAAACCCACAGCUCAACUGUGGGCUUGCGGUCGAUACGGGCAGGCUAGAGUUCGGUAGGGGAGACUGGAAUUCCUGGUGUAGCGGUGAAAUGCGCAGAUAUCAGGAGGAACACCCGUGGCGAAGGCGGCUCUCUGGGACGGUACUGACGCUGAGACGCGAAAGCGUGGGGAGCGAACAGG
rnacentral:rRNA from 1 species